UACAGAGGGUGCGAGCGUUAAUCGGAAUUACUGGGCGUAAAGCGCACGUGGGCGGUAAGGCAAGUCGGGUGUGAAAGCCCUGGGCUCAACCUGGGAAUUGCAUUCGAAACUAUCUGACUCGAGUAUGGGAGAGGGAAGCGGAAUUUCCGGUGUAGCGGUGAAAUGCGUAGAUAUCGGAAGGAACACCAGUGGCGAAGGCGGCUUCCUGGACUAAUACUGACGCUGAGGUGCGAAAGCGUGGGGAGCAAACAGG
rnacentral:rRNA from 1 species